GACGAACGCUGGCGGCGUGCUUAACACAUGCAAGUCGAACGGAAAGGCCCUGCUUUUGUGGGGUGCUCGAGUGGCGAACGGGUGAGUAACACGUGAGUAACCUGCCCUUGACUUUGGGAUAACUUCAGGAAACUGGGGCUAAUACCGGAUAGGAGCUCCUGCUGCAUGGUGGGGGUUGGAAAGUUUCGGCGGUUGGGGAUGGACUCGCGGCUUAUCAGCUUGUUGGUGGGGUAGUGGCUUACCAAGGCUUUGACGGGUAGCCGGCCUGAGAGGGUGACCGGCCACAUUGGGACUGAGAUACGGCCCAGACUCCUACGGGAGGCAGCAGUGGGGAAUAUUGCACAAUGGGCGGAAGCCUGAUGCAGCAACGCCGCGUGCGGGAUGACGGCCUUCGGGUUGUAAACCGCUUUCGCCUGUGACGAAGCGUGAGUGACGGUAAUGGGUAAAGAAGCACCGGCUAACUACGUGCCAGCAGCCGCGGUGAUACGUAGGGUGCGAGCGUUGUCCGGAUUUAUUGGGCGUAAAGGGCUCGUAGGUGGUUGAUCGCGUCGGAAGUGUAAUCUUGGGGCUUAACCCUGAGCGUGCUUUCGAUACGGGUUGACUUGAGGAAGGUAGGGGAGAAUGGAAUUCCUGGUGGAGCGGUGGAAUGCGCAGAUAUCAGGAGGAACACCAGUGGCGAAGGCGGUUCUCUGGGCCUUUCCUGACGCUGAGGAGCGAAAGCGUGGGGAGCGAACAGGCUUAGAUACCCUGGUAGUCCACGCUGUAAACGGUGGGUACUAGGUGUGGGGUCCAUUCCACGGGUUCCGUGCCGUAGCUAACGCUUUAAGUACCCCGCCUGGGGAGUACGGCCGCAAGGCUAAAACUCAAAGGAAUUGACGGGGCCCCGCACAAGCGGCGGAGCAUGCGGAUUAAUUCGAUGCAACGCGUAGAACCUUACCUGGGUUUGACAUGGAUCGGGAGCGCUCAGAGAUGGGUGUGCCUCUUUUGGGGUCGGUUCACAGGUGGUGCAUGGCUGUCGUCAGCUCGUGUCGUGAGAUGUUGGGUUAAGUCCCGCAACGAGCGCAACCCUUGUUCACUGUUGCCAGCACGUUAUGGUGGGGACUCAGUGGAGACCGCCGGGGUCAACUCGGAGGAAGGUGGGGAUGACGUCAAGUCAUCAUGCCCCUUAUGUCCAGGGCUUCACGCAUGCUACAAUGGCUGGUACAGAGAGUGGCGAGCCUGUGAGGGUGAGCGAAUCUCGGAAAGCCGGUUUCAGUUCGGAUUGGGGUCUGCAACUCGACCUCAUGAAGUCGGAGUCGCUAGUAAUCGCAGAUCAGCAACGCUGCGGUGAAUACGUUCCCGGGGCU
rnacentral:rRNA from 1 species